CGCAGCCCGAACCCCGGCCGGGGCGCCCAACUCUGGCUUCCGGCGCUCCCACCCGGAGUAGUCGGCCCCCUCCUCCUCGCCUGCGCCGCCGCCCGCGCCGCGUGUUCUCUCGCUCCUUUCUGCCCUCCUUUCCUGUCCCUGCCUCUCCUUUUAUCUCCUCUCUUCUCUUCCACCUGCUCCCUGUUCCCUGUCCUCUAUCUCUCCCGCUGUCUCUCCGUCUAUCUUGCCGCCGCCCUCUCUCGCGCCCCCUCCUCCCCACGGCCCUGCGCUGCCUCUCACAUUCUCCGCAUUACACUGGGUGCCGCCCGCCUCGCCCGGCCCGGGGUUCGAGAGCUCAGCGGGCGGCGAGGGGACCUGCCGCGCCCCGGCCCCACCGCCACCUCCGCUCUCCGCUCGCUCCGCGGCUCCUGGCUCUGGCCUGGCGGGCGGCGACGUCCCGCGCUAGCCUCGGCUGUCGCUGACAGCUCCCAUCUUGCCCGGGCUUAAAGGGAUAGCGCACCCGGCUCGACCUGCCCCACCCGGGGGCGCCAAGGAGGGCGGCGUCGCCCCGCCGGAACGGUCCCGGGCUGUGGCGUGACCCCGGGCGGUGCGGGCGGCGCCCCGUCCGCCGCCGUUGAUCCCGGCCCUCCCGGGCUGGAGAUGGGGAAACUGAGAUUGGAGAAAGGACCAGACGUCCAGCCUCAAAAUGUCUGUUGAUGAUGGCCCCACGAGUAUUCCCUAGGGUUCUGCCUCCUGGCCCAGCAUGAGUGUUUCCUCUGGACCAGAGUGAUGCUGUCUUCCCGCCUGCUCCCCUUUCCAAGCCCAGCACCCGGUCUCAGGCUGGGGGACCCGGUUGGUUUGACCCCUACCCGAUUUCCCAAGGUGGGAACGAGGUGCCUGCAGCUCCAAGGCCCAUUGCAGAGACCUCUGCAGCCGCCUGAGCUGCCCAGCCCUGGCCUGGAGUCGGGCUCAACUGAACCAGGCGGGCAGGCAGGCAUCUGAUUGGCACAGCAGAGCAAACAGACGGGAAGGAAAUCAAUUUGAGUGUUUGAUUAAUUUUAAUUUUUAAUUUGCAUGGAGAGUAAUGCACCCCAUUUGACACUGCAUCCUCACUGCAAGCUGCUGAUGCUCACCAUGGCCGCCCCAGCUGCAGCUCGCUGUGCCCGGUGGCUCCCCGCCCUUCUGCCUGGCGAGCCAGCCCCUCAAGCGGCAGACAGGCCUUCUGCGAAGCCAGGACGAAAGGCCCCCCGUCCAGGGACCUGCACCCCUCCUGCCCAGGAGAGAAGUGUCUGAGGACACAGUCCCUGGCAGUUGGACCACAUGGAAACAUGAGGCCACUGACUUACUAAAUGACUUGGAGCUGGCCACAGCACAAACCUUUGCCUGAGUACAAAGGAGCCUCACUGAGGAAUUAGGAAGAAAAGGAAUGUUUGGCCUAGCUUACACCUGCUCUGGAAGAACCUGCCCAGCUGGCUCCAUGGGUCUUGGAAGGACACGCCAUGUGGGCAAUGGUCAAGGCGAUGGAGGAGAAAAAGCUCAACUCCUUCCUUGCUCCCUUCCUGGCAGGAAAUCAGGCUCCCAGACCACAGUUGGGGCUGAAGCUCCCAACCUCCUGGAUCAGCUCCAGACCAAGGACUGGACUUUUAAAACCUAAGCCCUUCUGUGGUGGGGAGGUAGCCUUCAGCUCCUAGCAACGGAGAAACCAGAUCAAGUGUGAUUGGUCAGUUCCAGCUCAGAGGAGGAAAGGCGUGAACUGAUUGGCUGACGAUAUUUAUAAAAAGGAGAACCAGCGACCACGAGGUCCAAGUCCCUGCAAAGGAAGGUGGUAGGGCGUGGCUGAGCUCCAUCCCCACAGCUCAGAACUCCACCUGCCGCCCAGGCAGGCCCGAGAUGACCACUCCCAGUGGAUGUGUCCAGUUUCACCCAUCCCAGCAGAUCCCAAACUUGGUGUUCCUAGGCAUGUGGGCUGGACCCAGUCUGCUCAGGAAGGUAGAACUACUUGCAAUAAAGCAAAUGUUUUUGGCGCCCAGAGAGUUAAGCCUGGAUCAACCAGGACAAACCUGUGCCCAGCCCUGUGCUUGACAGGAGAGAAGGGGAAAGCGGAGGCCCAAGCCCUGCCCUCAAGAGCUCCCAGACUGCAGCUGGGGCAGAAGAUGCAUUAAGUCAGGGGUUCAGGCAUGGUGUGCUCAGGGUUAUUACGGCUCGGUUGGAAAUCUCAGGGUCGUGGGAUCGAGCCCCGCGUCGGGCUCUGCAUUCAGCAGGGAGUCUGCUUGAGAUUCUCUAUCU